rnacentral:lncRNA from 10 species
AUGUUGCCCAGGCUGGUCUUUAAGCUGUCCUUAAGCAAUCCUCCCAUCUCAUCCUCCCAAAGGGCUAGGAUUACAGGUAUGAGCUACCAUGCCCAGCUGAUACAGGUAAUUUUUAAUAAACACAAUUGUUCUGCUUCCCCAGCUGUGCUUUUGUCAAAGUCUGUAGAGUUGACACUUCACACUCUCACUCGAUUAAAGCAGACCUUCAUCUAA